rnacentral:rRNA from 1 species
AUUGAACGCUGGCGGCAGGCUUAACACAUGCAAGUCGAGCGAGCGGCGGACGGGUGAGUAAUGUCUGGGAAACUGCCUGAUGGAGGGGGAUAACUACUGGAAACGGUAGCUAAUACCGCAUACCAUCAGAUGUGCCCAGAUGGGAUUAGCUAGUAGGUGGGGUAAAGGCUCACCUAGGCGACGAUCCCUAGCUGGUCUGAGGGGAUGACCAGCCACACAGGAACGGUGACACGGUCCAGGCUCCUACGGGAGGCAGGAGUGGGGAAUAUUGCACAAUGGGCGCAAGGCUUAUGCAGGCAUGCCGCGUGUGGGAAGAAGGCCUUCGGGUUGUAAAGCACUUUCAGCGAGGAGGCGUGACUCGCAGAAGAAGCACCGGCUAAAUCCGUGCCAGGAGGCGCGGUAAUUA